GACGAACGCUGGCGGCGUGCUUAACACAUGCAAGUCGAACGGAAAGGCCCUGCUUUUGUGGGGUGCUCGAGUGGCGAACGGGUGAGUAACACGUGAGUAACCUGCCCUUGACUUUGGGAUAACUUCAGGAAACUGGGGCUAAUACCGGAUAGGAGCUCCUGCUGCAUGGUGGGGGUUGGAAAGUUUCGGCGGUUGGGGAUGGACUCGCGGCUUAUCAGCUUGUUGGUGGGGUAGUGGCUUACCAAGGCUUUGACGGGUAGCCGGCCUGAGAGGGUGACCGGCCACAUUGGGACUGAGAUACGGCCCAGACUCCUACGGGAGGCAGCAGUGGGGAAUAUUGCACAAUGGGCGGAAGCCUGAUGCAGCAACGCCGCGUGCGGGAUGACGGCCUUCGGGUUGUAAACCGCUUUCGCCUGUGACGAAGCGUGGGUGACGGUAAUGGGUAAAGAAGCACCGGCUAGCUACGUG
rnacentral:rRNA from 1 species